UUCACUUGAAUCAAGCUACUCCCAGCUUCUGCACACAUCUGGUCCAACACUACUUUGGGAUAUGUUUUGCUAAGGUUGCUGUUCUGCCUGGAAGGCCCUCAUUCCUCAGCUGCAUGACCCGAGGUUUCCUUCCUCUAAGACCUUGCUAGCGGCUCCUAGAUGCCUUCCAAACCAAAUUCUCUUCUAUGAGAUCAGCUCUUAGCUUUGUAUUCCCUGGCACUUAUGGAGUAUGUUAUGGAGAAAGACUGUCUAGUUGAAGGAAAACAAGCUCUGGGCUCCCACUGAUUCUACGUUAUGAGGAAUUUCUCAAGAUUUUAUCUUUACUGAUUGAUUUCUAAGGGAUGCUACUUGCUUCUAACAUCAUGUUAAUCAGCAAUGUAAGCUCUGGCAUAGCUUACCAACCCUAAGAGUGGCAGGGAGUUGCUCUGUGUAAUGGUGGAGUACUCAGCUGUCUUCUCCAUGGUGGUUGAGUUCUCUGGAUGGGAUCAGCUUUCUUCACAUGUCACUGAAGUGAAAGGGGACAAUUGAAACCUAUUUUGACAGGUUUAAAAGCUAAAGCCAAGCCAGGAAGAGGAAGACAAGAUGAGAAACCCCAAAUCAAGGUAAGAGAAGAAAAUAAGUGCAACAUGCCAGAAAUCCAGUAAAGCAGUUCAAGUAUCAGAAGAGCGUGAAUCAAAACCAAGUGCAAGAAGAGGCACCUUGACAUUGAACUGAAGGCCACCAGGUACUCACUGGGUCAAUGACUCUUCUCAUUUUUAUUCUCCUGCCAGUGCUUCCAAUCGCUGAACUGAACUGGGAACAAAUCAACAAGGGAAACCAAGAGAUGCAUUCCUUGAAGUUCAGCCUCCAGGCCUCAAGUAAGGCAGAGGAAGAGAAUACAUAGAUCUGUGGAGAAGAGUGGUGAUGGUGGGAGCUGCCAAUAAAGAACUAUCAAAAAAGGAUGAUGCAACAGAAAAGCCGUCACCAGAUACCAGCACCUUAAUGUUGGACUUCUCAGCCUCCAGAACUACUUUACACCAGGAAGAGUUCCUUUUAAAAUUGGCCUGGGUGGCAGAGGUCAGAACAUACACAAUUCAACAACAACUUGCGCCACCCACCUCCAAUUCCCUGCUCUACAGGACCAUCCUGACUUCCACAGUGACCCGAGCACUGGCAUUCCAAGGACUCAAAUGACCACCUUCCUCGCCCUUCAAUAAGUAUCUCUCAGUGAAGAAAGUAUUUGGAUGAAUGACAGAAAGCAUCCUGAACUGUGCACCUGCAAAAGAUAUUUCACACAUUCCUUUUUGGACAUUUUGUUAUUUUCCUCUAAGCCGAUAGCCUUUCCAUCUUGUGCAGGAAAGAUCAUUAAGUAUUUCAUAGGCAUAAACAUUUCAUGUUCAAAACUUUUGGUACUUCAGUUGUAAUAUUGUUAUUGUACUACAUAAAUCUAAAAUAAAACCAGCUUCUCUGCCCAGUACCUAUCAGCUGCAAUUUAGGGGAAGUGCCUUUAUAUUUAUAUCCUAUGGGCCCAAUCAGGUAGAAAGAGAAUUAUUCUUUAUCUUGUCUAAUGUCCCCAAAUCUCCCAGGUCCCAAGUCACAGAAAGGCAAUGUGGUAGCAUUCUUCUGGGGACUCAUCAGAUAUAUCCUCAAAGUACUUUUGUCAAAUACAUUAUUCUAAUCAAUGUGAAUCCUAAAAUGUUAUUAUUAAUAGUAUAGUUAUAUGUUGUCAAUUUUUUUUGGAAUAUGAAUCAUUUUUGUAAGUAAUAUGUCAUUUGAUUGUCUCAAAAAUUCUAUCAAGUUAUCCCAUUUUGUGGGUCAAAGAACUAAGGUUCAGGAACAUGAAGGGACUUGCUUCAAUUAAUUGGUCAGGAUGUGAUGGCGGGGAGAUUUGGAGAGGCUCCAGGGUCCAAGGUUGAGCCUUUGUGCUAUUCUAUGUCACUUGGCUUCUGGCAGAGCACAGAUCUUAGAUGUUUAGCUCUUCAGUCACAGGAUGGAGAGGAGGGAAAGUCAGAAGCACGGAGGCGGUCCUGUUGUGUAGCACUGAUUUUCAGAAUCUUCCCCCAACACUUCAUCUUCCUCCUUGUUCUUUUCCUGGCCAAGCCUUAAUUGACCAGUUCUACUUCUAGUUAAGGACCAAUUCCUUCUGGCCCAGUGCUACAAGGACAUUAGCAAUCCCACUCCUUCACGAAGCUGAUUGUGAGUCAUGCCAGUUCCUCCUCCAGGCAGAACCAGGUGUGGGCACUCUUUCUGAGCUCCGCAUCGAACAUGGGGACCUGUGAUGCAGUGUUUUCAGCUCCCACUGGAGAGAUGCAGAGAGGGCGAUUUAUCAGUGACAGUCAAAAAAGCUGGUUCUGCCUCUUUCUAGAGGCAGAUGCAGGGGCCUAGAUGUUGUUAUUAAUCAUUCGUAAACGGUUCUGUGUUCAAAAUAGCAGUGUUUAAAUAUUUCAGAACAGGUCCAGCCUCAUAAAAAGUGGGUUAUGGGCUGUCAUGAUAACAUUUCAUCUCCUUCACCAUGUUGUGGCCGAGAGAAAUAAGCUGUCACUGCCACUUGCAUCCCUGACCCUCCAACAUGCCAGGGCACAGCAGCCAAUGGAGUGUGCUGGCAGCAAGGCAGGGGGGAGAAAGGCAGGACUACUCCAUCAAGAUACCACCAUGAACCAAAAGGGCAAUUUUCCCAUAUUUAGGCUGCCUGUUUGGGUUAACUAUCAACCAAAGACCUUUGUUUUUAAACAGAACCUUUUUUCUCUUUCACAUUUGAUAAAUAAAAGCCUUAGACUGAAAUUCUUUCUGAUUUUACUGCUUCCUUUAAGUUUUACCUCAUGACAUUUUGGAUAGACUGAAUGAAAUCAUAGUUUAUUUCCCUCCCUAUUCCGGUGCCUACCCUGCCCC
rnacentral:lncRNA from 1 species